AGUGAACGCUGGCGGUAGGCCUAACACAUGCAAGUCGAACGGCAGCACAGUAAGAGCUUGCUCUUACGGGUGGCGAGUGGCGGACGGGUGAGGAAUACAUCGGAAUCUACUUUUUCGUGGGGGAUAACGUGGGGAAACUUACGCUAAUACCGCAUACGACCUACGGGUGAAAGCAGGGGAUCUUCGGACCUUGCGCGAUUGAAUGAGCCGAUGUCGGAUUAGCUAGUUGGCGGGGUAAAGGCCCACCAAGGCGACGAUCCGUAGCUGGUCUGAGAGGAUGAUCAGCCACACUGGAACUGAGACACGGUCCAGACUCCUACGGGAGGCAGCAGUGGGGAAUAUUGGACAAUGGGCGCAAGCCUGAUCCAGCCAUACCGCGUGGAUGAAGAAGGCCUUCGGGUUGUAAAGCCCUUUUGUUGGGAAAGAAAAGCAGCAGGUUAAUACCCCGCUGUUCUGACGGUACCCAAAGAAUAAGCACCGGCUAACUUCGUG
rnacentral:rRNA from 1 species